rnacentral:misc_RNA from 1 species
GAUGAAGAACGUAGCGAAAUGCGAUAAGUAAUGCGAAUUGCAGAAUUCAGUGAGUCAUCGAAUCUUUGAACGCACAUUGCGCCCCUUGGCAUUCCGAGGGGCACACCUGUUCGAGCGUCAUUUCACCAGUCAAGCCUGGCUUGGUGUUGGGCGACGUCCUCUUUGGGGACGCGCCUCGAAACGCUCGGCGGCGUGGCACCGGCUUUAAGCGUAGCAGAAUCUUUCGCUUUGGAAGUCGGGGCCCCGUCUGCCGGAAGACCUGCUCGCAAGGUUGACCUCGGAUCAGGCAGGGAUACCCGCUGAACUUAAGCAUAUCAAUAAGCGGAGGA